rnacentral:tRNA from 1 species
GACCGCGUAACUCAGUCGGCAGAGCAUUGAACUAGUAUUCCAAAGGUCGUAUAGGUUCGAUUCCCACCGUGGCCA